GAUACUGACAGGUUUUCUGAUCCUACAUUUUUCUUAAAAUAUCUGUGACUAACAGAUGUAUAUCUGUAUUCUCAGUCAUGUGAAAUUCAUAGAUUAGGACCUAAUCAAUUUACAUUUCAAUUGACUGAUUUCUUUAUAUGAACUGUAACUCAGUAAAAUCGAAGAAAUGGUUGCAUGUUGCGUUUAUAUUUUUGUUCAGUGUAGAUUUAUAGGUAAGUUAAGUAGCGUUAGCUACAAAUCAGAAGGUAAAUGGGCUAAACACCAAGGUAAUGCUUUGUCUGUUAUACAUUGCUACUGAUCAAUGCCAUCAUUUUCCUAAUUUGUGUCAGCCUGGUCUUUGUACGAACUUAAAGUCAAGAUCGCCAUCAUCUGCUACGAUGGAAACAGUACAGAUGUAUACAAAGCCAGAGACCUUGCACAGAAAUGGGUAAGCUAAUGGGGUCACAUUUCACUUACUGUUUGUUGCACAGUGUUUUAAAUGUUUCCGAGAUGACUCAGCACAUGCAGUGUUCUCAAUUUGAAUGUCUACAUUACCUUUAUGUCCUUGCAGCUCAGACACAUAUUACCAUCCAACAAAUAUCAUUUGUACAGAGUCUCUGUGUCUGUGUCAACCAGGUAAGGAAAGUCCAAAAUACAAAAUGAGUACAGGUGUAUCAUGGAUUUAUGCAUGUAAUAUUCUCAUCAAUAAUCUUUUCAUCUCAAUUGCAAUCACCAACACAAGCUAUUUCACACUUUUGACAGUGUCGGUGAGACAUAUGAGGACGAGGCCCAUGACAAACCAAUAUUGCGGGCUGAAUUUGAUGCAAACCGCUUUGACUGCCUGGUCCACCUCAACGUGA
rnacentral:lncRNA from 1 species